rnacentral:rRNA from 1 species
GACGAACGCUGGCGGCGUGCCUAACACAUGCAAGUUGAGCGACGAACCAGGGCUUGCCCUGGGGCAAAGCAGCGAACGGGUGAGUAACACGUGGGUAACCUGCCCCGAUUACCGGGACAACCCGAGGAAACUCGGGCUAAUACCGGAUGUGCUCGUCAGACCCAAGUCUGACGCGUAAAGGAAGCUUCGGCCUCCGAAUUGGGAGGGCCCGUGGCCCAUUAGCUAGUUGGUGAGGUAACGGCUCACCAAGGCAUCGAUGGGUAGCUGGUCUGAGAGGACGAUCAGCCACACUGGGACUGAGACACGGCCCAGACUCCUACGGGAGGCAGCAGUGGGGAAUCUUGCGCAAUGCGCGAAUGCGUGACGCAG